rnacentral:tRNA from 2 species
GCCGGAGUGGCGGAAUGGUAGACGCAGCGGACUCAAAAUCCGCCGCCCUUAAAAGCGUGUGGGUUCGAGUCCCACCUCCGGCA